rnacentral:rRNA from 1 species
UAGGGAAUAUUGGACAAUGGGGGCAACCCUGAUCCAGCCAUGCCGCGUGAGUGAAGAAGGCCCUCGGGUUGUAAAGCUCUUUUGUCCGGAAAGAAAAGCUUCGGGUUAAUACCCCGGGGUUCUGACGGUACCGGAAGAAUAAGCACCGGCUAACUUCGUGCCAGCAGCCGCGGUAAUACGAAGGGUGCAAGCGUUACUCGGAAUUACUGGGCGUAAAGCGUGCGUAGGUGGUUGUUUAAGUCUGAUGUGAAAGCCCUGGGCUCAACCUGGGAAUGGCAUUGGAAACUGGGCAGCUAGAGUGCGGUAGAGGGUAGUGGAAUUCCCGGUGUAGCAGUGAAAUGCGUGGAGAUCGGGAGGAACAUCUGUGGCGAAGGCGACUGCCUGGACCAGCACUGACACUGAGGCACGAAAGCGUGGGGAGCAAACA